rnacentral:rRNA from 1 species
AACGAACGCUGGCGGCAGGCUUAACACAUGCAAGUCGAGCGCCCCGCCAGGGGGGCGGCAGUCGGGUGAGUAGCGCGUGGGGACGGACCGUGGGGUACGUCACAACCUCGUGUAACGUGAGCGAAUACGGGAGAAGCCCUAACGUAGUAAGGCUUAUCGCCUAAGGAUCGGAGCGCGGCUGCUUAGCUAGUUGGUGAGUUGAAGGCGCAGCAGGGCGACUAGCAGUAUCGGGUGUGAGAGGAUGAUCAGCGACACUGGCGCUGGGACACAGUCCAGACUCUUGCACGAUGCAGCAGUGCCGAAUAUUGGCCUAUCGGCGCAAGCCUGAUCCAGCCCUGCCUCGUGAGUGAUGAUGGCCUUAGAGUUGUACAGCUCUUUUGUCCGGGACGAUAAUGACGGUACCGGAAGAAUAAGCCCCGGCUAACUUCGUG